rnacentral:rRNA from 1 species
GACGAACGCUGGCGGCGUGCUUAACACAUGCAAGUCGAACGGAAAGGCCCUGCUUUUGUGGGGUGCUCGAGUGGCGAACGGGUGAGUAACACGUGAGUAACCUGCCCUUGACUUUGGGAUAACUUCAGGAAACUGGGGCUAAUACCGGAUAGGAGCUCCUGCUGCAUGGUGGGGGUUGGAAAGUUUCGGCGGUGGGGGAUGGACUCGCGGCUUAUCAGCUUGUUGGUGGGGUAGUGGCUUACCAAGGCUUUGACGGGUAGCCGGCCUGAGAGGGUGACCGGCCACAUUGGGACUGAGAGACGGCCCAGACUGCUACGGGAGGCAGCAGUGGGGAAUAUUGCACAAUGGGCGGAAGCCUGAUGCAGCAACGCCGCGUGCGGGAUGACGGCCUUCGGGUUGUAAACCGCUUUCGCCUGUGACGAAGCGUGAGUGACGGUAAUGGGUAAAGAAGCACCGGCUAACUACGUG